rnacentral:rRNA from 1 species
AACGAACGCUGGCGGCGUGGAUAAGACAUGCAAGUCGAACGGGACUAAAUCUGUAGCAAUACAGGUUUAGUUUAGUGGCGAACGGGUGCGUAACACGUGGGCAAUCUGCCGAGAAGUGGGGGAUAGCUCGCCGAAAGGCGAAUUAAUACCGCAUAUGAUCAGCUAAGACAUCUUAGCGACAUCAAAGCCGGGGAUCGAAAGACCUGGCGCUUCUUGAUGAGCCCGCGGCCUAUCAGCUAGUUGGUGAGGUAACGGCUCACCAAGGCUAUGACGGGUAGCUGGUCUGAGAGGACGACCAGUCACACUGGAACUGAGACACGGUCCAGACACCUACGGGUGGCAGCAGUCGAGAAUUUUUCUCAAUGGGGCAACCCUGAAGGAGCGACGCCGCGUGGAGGAUGAAGGCUUUCGGGUUGUAAACUCCUGUCAUUUGAGAACAAGGUGCAUCGGUUAACUGCCGGUGCAUUGAUAGUAUCAGAAGAGGAA